ACUCCUACGGGAGGCAGCAGUGGGGAAUUUUGGACAAUGGGCGAAAGCCUGAUCCAGCAAUGCCGCGUGAGUGAAGAAGGCCUUCGGGUUGUAAAGCUCUUUUGUCAGGGAAGAAACGGUGAGAGCUAAUAUCUUUUGCUAAUGACGGUACCUGAAGAAUAAGCACCGGCUAACUACGUGCCAGCAGCCGCGGUAAUACGUAGGGUGCAAGCGUUAAUCGGAAUUACUGGGCGUAAAGCGUGCGCAGGCGGUUUUGUAAGUCUGAUGUGAAAUCCCCGGGCUCAACCUGGGAAUUGCAUUGGAGACUGCAAGGCUAGAAUCUGGCAGAGGGGGGUAGAAUUCCACGUGUAGCAGUGAAAUGCGUAGAUAUGUGGAGGAACACCGAUGGCGAAGGCAGCCCCCUGGGUCAAGAUUGACGCUCAUGCACGAAAGCGUGGGGAGCAAACAGGAUUAGAUACCCUGGUAGUCCACGCCCUAAACGAUGUCUACUAGUUGUCGGGUCUUAAUUGACUUGGUAACGCAGCUAACGCGUGAAGUAGACCGCCUGGGGAGUACGGUCGCAAGAUUAAAACUCAAAGGAAUUGACGGGGACCCCCACAAGCGGUGGAGCAUGUGG
rnacentral:rRNA from 1 species